GAGACACUGAGGUAGGGCUGGUAGGUGUACAUGUAAACCAAGCCCUUUACAAACUCAGACUCUUUGCAUUAAGAGCUUAACCAGGUAACAUCACUACCACUUCGGGGGCCCUUUGUCGACGGACAUCAGUGAAACCACUACCUCUGAUGUCUUCCUUCUACAUCAACUGAUCAACUGAUCUCCUGAAUCUCGGAGGCCUCUGCCUUUUGAAUCUGACCCAGUAAUGGAAGAAAUCAUUCAUCGUUCAACAAGAGGAGGAAAGAGGGAAGAGGAAGAAAAAACGCAACAAGACCCGGCAACACAAUGUGCUGGUCUGUCUACUGAAAUGGUGCCUGGCUGAAGACUGGGAGGGAGCAGGGCAUGUCUGUGGGGUUUGCCUUUCAUGGAGCCUUGAAUGACCCGAGAGAGACUGGAUGUGGCUCUCUCUUGGGCUCCAAGGGGAAAUUUGAGAUAUGUCCCCCUCUGCUUUCUCCUUUUACAACUCCUCACUUUUUUAAAAUAACCUUUUUUCUUUACUGCUCUAUUCACAACGGUAAGAUUACAGGUGUUUCUGUUUGAUUUCCUUCUCAGUCCCCCCCUCCCCCCUCUCCCAGAGUAUUGUCCUACAUUUUUACCUGCUCCCGCUGCCAUACAACCUUUCCUGCUCUCACAACAUUUGCAUCAAGUAAUGUUUGCUUUGCUUGUUUUAGAGCAAAACCUUUUCUUUAUGCUUGUUCUGACAGCAAUGGAAGCUAUGUAUUUUGAACAUUAAUUCAUUUUUAAAUAUAUUUUUUUCACCUUUAUUUAACUAGGCAAGUCAGUUAAGAACAAAUUCUUAAAUUACAAUAAUGGCCUGCCAGGGAACUGCCUUAUUCAGGGGCAGAUAUUUACCUUGUCAGCUCAGGGGAUUCGAUCCAGCGACCUUUUGGUUACUGGCUCAACACUCUAACCACUAGGCUACCUGCCGCCCCGAAAGAAAGAAAUCAAACAAUAUUUUACUUGUAGACUGUCAAACGUCUACUACUGAAAGUAAUGUUACUUUACAUGAAAGGGCUAAUGUAAUCGGACAAUAUGUAUAUGGUAAAAUAACACAAUACCAAUUUUUAAAUGCUAUGAUAGUGUAUUUACCAGUGCAGGAACAGUGUGAUUUGUGCACAGUGCAUACAGGUUGGACAUAUAGGUAUUUAGGCUUGCCAUAACAAAGUGGUUGAAUACUUAUUGACUCAAGACAUUUCAGCUUUUAAUUCCACGUUGACAUUAUACAAUAUUGUGUUUAGAUCAGUGACACCAAAUCUCAAUUUAAUCCAUUUCAAAUUCAGGCUACAGCAACACAACAAAAUGUGUAAAAAGCAAAGGGGUUUGAAUACUUUUUGAAGGCACUGUAGAUGUUGUGUAAUGUAUAAUGUUUGCCAUGAAAUGUCAAUGAGGGCAUUCUGCAAUGUUGGUGGCUGUUUGCCAAUGUGGCAAUGAAAAGGAAAUAAUAUAGUUAACUGUACUUUGGUUCAACAGUCAUAAUCUAGUAUGACUAGGAUUGCAAAGGGAGGGUAUAUUACUGGAAACUUUCACAUUUACCAGUAAACUACCAGACUUUUGGUUUCUUUCAGGGAUGUUACGUAAUCUAUUGCAAGACAUCUAGUGGCCCAUUUGGGUACUUCAGAUGUCUGUAAUAAUCUCUGACCCUCUGUGUGGCUUUAUCACAUGUAAAAGAUAUGAAAUAAUGAAAUAAGAGAUACAAUUUAUUUAUUUUUUUAAAUCAAUGGCAAAGCUGUAAAACAUUAUCCUAAAUAUAAACCAUCAACUUAGUGAAUACCAUUGGUGUUUAAUAUGAGGGUUUCAAGCAUGAAAUAUCCUUAAUAUUUUUUUUACACACUUAUUUAUUUGACUAUGUCAUUAUGUAUUUGUUGUCAAUGUUUUAGCUUCAAAUUGGUGGCAGUUGUGAGUAUAUGUAAGACAGUGAAUAGUUAGAAGAAUUGCAUAAAAAAUAAUGUCAACAAAAAUAAUGCCAUUGAAAAUAAUGCCAUUGAAAAUAAUGCCAUUGUUGAUUAGAUGCUUUUUAUUAUUAAUUAGGCGAUUUUCUCUUGAACCAUAUGGCCUAUUUACUAGAAACUCAUGGACAGCGUGGCCACAGAUAUAUACAAAAAUGAAUACUAUAUAUGAAUACAUUUUUAAAAAGUUAUUCAAGAAUAAAUUACCAACGUUACGAUAGAUUGCCAUAGAUUUUCUGUUAAUUACCAAAAUUCCUGAAGAUUCCAGUAACUUCAGUAAAUUACCGGUGGCUUUGCAACCCUAACUAUGACAUACUCUGAUAAAUCUAGACAUGACAGUAAUCUGAUUUCUGAAGUCAAUCCAAUUUUUCUAAUAUUCCUGUCACUGUGAUACUCUAGAAUACUAAAUUAUCGGCAUCAUACUUUAGCGGUUUGAUGCAGCUGUAGCUUGACUUUGCGAUGGCCCAGUGCCAUACUUUUUUAAACUAACAGCGCAGAUCGCAUAACGUCAAGUAACUUUUGUAAAACCGCAGCCUCUUAAAUUAUAGUUUAGGUUCUUGGAUCAUAAAAAGGAACGGUUUUGUAGUGUUUGGAUAAUUAUUAACAGUGACUUAGUCUACUGAUGUUGUUGCACAAAUAUAGAAUGAAACCAUCAAAAAAAUCCGACAAGGUUGGUAAAACACAGCAGUCAGUAAGUGCUUUUCUGGACCAGUAGCCUCCCCUAUUGACACUGUCCGCAUCUGUGUUGCUCUUGUAAAUGAAAUAUUGAUAUUUGGAUGGCCAUCUCCAUCUUACAAGGCAGUUUUGGAUGUCAUAACUCUCUCUAAUACUGCCUGGUAAUGAUGAUGAUGACCCUCUGCAAGCAUCAUAGAGUAAACACGUAACACACAAACACAAUCCCGUUUAGCACUGUAUUUUCUUAGUCCUUGAGCCAGUGGGUAGUAAUAUCUUAUGAGUUGCUGGUAGCUUUGAGUAGUAUUCUAAGGGUUGUGUAGACUUAGAUAUGCUCUGAGUUGGAUAUAGAUAGAUAUAGUUAUGUGCUUUUGAUAUUCACUUUCUAUGGCUUUCAGGACACAUCUUACCUGACAGUGCUCGGCUGUACAUAGAUGUUCUAACACUGUCUGGUAAUGAUGUUCCCUGAAAGCCCUUCAAACAACCACAUCAAUAAUCCCAACAACCAAUAGGGGUGCAACAGCACUGUAGCAUACCUGAAGCAGGAAGCAUUUGCUGUUUGUAAAUAGUUUUUAGUACAUUUUCUGGUCAAUGCCAUAUUUUUGAAAAAAAGGCUGUUCCCAUUCAUUUAGAGGAAAUUGUAAGCAAUUACCAGUUUUUUUUUGUCCUUGAUAGUGAGGCCCUUGUAUGGCAUUAUCAUAGUUCAGCUGUAGACUCCAAAUCAGGUGAUCUCCAGUUUACAGUACAGCACAUGAAAAUAUGGAUGCUGUAGUAGGGUAGUUAUUUUUAAAGGACUACAUAGGUAAACAAUAAGAUGAUGGAACAACUGGCUGGAGGAAGCAACCAGAAAGGUGGCACACACUAGACAGUGAAGGCUGACAGAGAUAGUCCCAUAGGAUAAGAGAUUGACGCUGUCUGUAGUGAACACCUUCUGCCUAACCCCCCUUUUGUGAUAGGUAGUUCCUCCCUGCCUCCUGCCCUUUGUGUAGAUUUUCCACCCCACCCAGUAGUUAAAGAAUACCAGUGAAAUUACUGUUGCAGUAGGAGCCACUUCCUUUACCCCUCCCCCAGUCAGAGCUGAGCCUGGGCUUUUGUUGGCUUGUGAUUGGUCCAGCGCUACUGUACCUGCGUGGCAUAUUGUGCAGCUGACACCUGAGAUCUGUGUGAGAAAAAUAAACACAACGACCUCUAUUGCACUCAUGCUCUCAUGCUCUCUCUUUCUCUCUCUCUCUCUCUCUCUUUCUCUCUCUCUCUUUCUCUCUCUCUCUCUCUCUCUCUCUCUCUUUCUCUCUUUCUCUCUUUCUCUCUCUCUUUCUCUCUCUUUCUCUCUCUCUUUCUCUCUCUCUUUCUCUCUCUCUUUCUCUCUCUCUUUCUCUCUCUUUCUCUUUCUCUCUCUUUCUCUUUCUCUCUUUCUCUCUUUCUCUCUCUCUCUUUCUCUCUCUCUUUCUCUCUCUUUCUCUCUCUUUCUCUCUCUCUCUAUUCUCUUUUAUAACUCUCAACCUAUUUAUAACUCUUAACCAAUUGGUCUGUUUUACUAUUCAACACACUAUUCUCAAGGAAAAGUGAAGGGAGACGAGGAACUAGGCGGCUCCCACCUGGUACUCUACCCUGCACCUUAGAGACAGCUGCCCUAUGUACAUAGAGUCAUUGAAAACUGUUAACAUUAAUGUUUACAUACUGUUUUACCCACUCUAUGUGUAUAUACUGUAUUUUAGUCAUGGAUCAUCCUAUAUAACUACUGUUGUACACAUCUUUUCUAUUCAUAUGCUGUUUAACACACUACAUUAUAUGCAUAUACAGUACCAGUCAAAAGUUUAGACACACCUACUCAUUCAAGGGUUUUUCUUUAUUUUGACCAUUUUCUACAUUGUAAAAUAAUAAUGAAGACAUCCAAACUAUGAAAUAACACAUACAGAAUUAUCUAGUAACCAAAAAUGUGUUAAAGUGUUAUUUUAUAUUUGAGAUUCUUCAAAGUAGCCACUCAUUGCCUUGAUCAUAGCUUUGCACACUCUUGGCAUACUCUCAAACAGCUUCAUGACGUAGUCACCUGGAAUGCAUUUCAGUUAACAGGUGUUCCUUGUUAAAAGUUAAUUUGUGGACUUUCUUUACUUCUUAAUGAGUUUGAGACAAUGUUGUGUUGUGACAAGUUAGGGGUGGUAUACAGAAGAUAACCCUAUUUGGUGAAAGACCAAGUCCAUAUUAUGGCAAGAACAGCUCAAAUAAGCAAAGUAAAACGACAGUCCAUCGUUACUUUAAGACAUGAAGGUCUGUCCAUGUGGAAAAUGUCAAGAACUUUGAAAGUUUCUUCAGGUGCAAUCGCAAAAACCAUCAAGCGCUAUGAUGAAGCUGGCUCUCAUGAGGACCGCCACAGGAAAGGAAGACCAAGAGUUACCUCUGCUGCAGAGGAUAAGUUCAUUAGAGUUACCAACCUCAGAUUGCAGCCCAAAUAAAUGCUUCACAGAGUUCAAGUAACAGACACAUCUCAACAUCAACUGUUCAGAGGAGACUUCAUGAAUCAGGCCUUCAUGGUGGAAUUGCUGCAAAGAAACCACUACUAAUGGACACCAAUAAUAAGAAGAGACUUGCUUGGGCCAAGAAACAUGAGCAAUGGACAUUAGACUGGUGGAAAUCUGUCUGAUGAGUGCAAAUAUGAGAUUUUUGUUUCCAACCACAGUGUCUUUGUGAGACGCAGAGUAGGUGAACAGAUGAUCCCUGCAUGUGUGGUUCCCACCGUGAAGCAUGGAGGAGGAGGUGUGGGGGUGCUUUGCUGGUGACACUGUCAGUGAUUUAUUUAGAAUUCAAGGCACACUUAACCAGCAUGGCUGUUGGAGAAGCAUUCCUCAUGAAGCUGGUUGAGAGAAUGCCAAGAGUGUGCAAAGCUGUCAUGAAGGCAAAGGGUGGCUACAUUGAAUAAUCUAAAAUCUAAAAUACUUUUUUGGUUACUACAUUAUUCCAUGUGUGUUAUUUCCUCGUUUUGAUGUCUUCAUUAUUAUUCUACAUUGUAGAAGAUAUAUAAAAAAUUAAGAAAAACCUUUGAAUGAGUAGGUGUGUCCAAACGUUUGACUGGUAUAUAUUUAUAUAUUUAUAUUCCAGUCUUUGACAUAGAAACUUCAGAUUUUCUUAAUUUCUUAAUUUUUUUCUGGAUAAUGUUUAUAUUGCUUUGUUUUUUUGUAUUCCGCUGCAUCUACAAUAAUUUCUGCAAAUCUGUGUAUGCGGCCAAUAAACUUCGAUUUGAAAAUGUAUGCACGGAUAACUGUAAUUCACUUUGGAUAAAAGAGUCUGCUCAAUAGCAUAUAUUAUAAUUUGAAUCAUUUUUUCAGACUGUGUGUUCUCAAACAAUAGGUUGACUGUACAAGUCAAUGGACAACAGAGAUAAAAGCAUAAGGUGAUUGAGGUGUUUCAAAGGUGAUGUUUGUCAAGGGCUGUACUUCUGAGUUCUGGUUUAACACACACAUAUCGAAUCACCCCUUUGCGUACUCAUUCUGAACUCUGAAAUUGUAGGCCAGUUACAUAAUUCAUUUGCAUGUCCUUUUAAAGUUCAAAUUAUUGAAAGAUUGUGUCAUCUUGCUUUUUGACAUGUUUUGCUCCACUGAUAAACUAUUACCUCUGAUAGAUUUUUACAUUUUUCACCACUGGUAUCUUGAGGAUGUAUUUCUAUAAACUAUUCCAAUUCUCCAACUUAUUUCUGUCUUCUGUCUUUACAGCUUGUCUGUCAUCAAGCUGCUGUAGCAACAAAGACCCUGGCUACUUUCCUCUGAUGCUCCUACCUAAACCUUGUAAUUGUCGUCUUACCAGACAAGUUUAGAUCUAGCUACUCUGUCUAAUACUGUCUGGUAAUGCCGUCCAUUACAAGGUGUCUCAUCGCUCUUUCUCUGUCAGUCUCUUGGACAAUCUGUACAAAUGAACUGGUAUUGGGUCAUGUGAUGUUUUUUCACCCCUCAAUGAUUUAAUGGCUUAGAAUGUUUAAAUGCAGGUCCAUUUUUUGUUGUUGAAUUAUGUAUUUGUAUGUAAAAUGUCUUGAACAGAUAUUUGCUAACAGUAUUUUGUUGAUUAUGUUAAUAAAGGUCAUCAACGUUCUUUUGUGCUUUUCAUUAUGAUAUGAAUCAUUAUAAACAGCAUGAGCGAGCGCCCACGAAUUCACACCCACACACACACACAC
rnacentral:lncRNA from 1 species